UACGUAGGGUGCAAGCGUUGUCCGGAAUUAUUGGGCGUAAAGAGCUCGUAGGCGGUCUGUCGCGUCGGAUGUGAAAACCCAGGGCUCAACCCUGGGCCUGCAUUCGAUACGGGCAGACUGGAGUUCGGUAGGGGAGACUGGAAUUCCGGUGUAGCGGUGAAAUGCGUAGAGAUGUGGAGGAACACCAAUGGCGAAGGCAGCCUUCUGGGCCAACACUGACGCUCAUGCACGAAGCGUGGGGAGCAAACAGG
rnacentral:rRNA from 1 species